rnacentral:rRNA from 1 species
CACGUAGUUAGCCGGGGCUUCUUGGUCAGGUACUGUCAUUUUCUUCCCUGCUGAUAGAGCUUUACAUACCGAAAUACUUCUUCACUCACGCGGCGUCGCUGCAUCAGGGUUUCCCCCCAUUGUGCAAUAUCCCCCACUGCUGCCUCCCGUAGGAGUUUGGGCCGUGUCUCAGUCCCAAUGUGGCUGUCCGCCCUCUCAGGCCGGCUACUGAUCGUCGCUUUGGUAGGCCGUUACCCUGCCAACUGGCUAAUCAGACGCGGGUCCAUCAUAUACCACCGGAGUUUUUCACACCGGGGCAUGCGCCCCUGUGCGCUUAUGCGGUAUUAGCACCUAUUCUAAGUGUUAUCCCCCUGUAUAUGGCAGGUUACCCACGCGUUACUCACCCCGUCCGCCCACGUAGGCGUAGAAAGUUUGAAGUCUAGUAAACUAUCCCUCUCGCACAUCCACCGCCCCCGUUCGUACCUUGCCAUGUGUUAAGCACCGCCGCCAGCCGUUCACUUCCUGACGCCAGGACUACUAAA